UACGUAGGUGGCAAGCGUUGUCCGGAAUUACUGGGUGUAAAGGGCGUGUAGGCGGGUUAUCAAGUCAGAUGUGAAAUUCCAGAGCUUAACUCUGGCGCUGCAUCUGAAACUGAUGAUCUUGAGUACUGGAGAGGGAAGCGGAAUUCCUAGUGUAGCGGUGAAAUGCGUAGAUAUUAGGAGGAACACCAGUGGCGAAGGCGGCUUUCUGGACAGUAACUGACGCUGAGGCGCGAAAGCGUGGGGAGCAAAC
rnacentral:rRNA from 1 species